CCCCUCAUUUGUCUGUAGGUCAGUGGGGAUUUGGCUGAUCUUGUUCAGGCUCAGCUGGACUUGGCUCCAAGAUCUGAAUGGGGUCUAGACCUGCUCUGUGCACUCCUGUCCUCAUUGGACCUGGAGUCGCUGAGGGCACAUCCUAGUCAAUGGAGAAGGCAGCAACUACAAAGCACUCUGACUGGGCACUGACACGGAGUAACUGGGCAGAAAAACCCAUCGGCAUCUGACAGAUUCCUAGGUUGAUGCAAAUAGCAGCUGGGCCCAGAGAGACCCUGGCUACUUCUCAUGGCCGAACCUCAGAGAGUAGGAGAUGUUCUCUUUGCUCCUUCCUGGAAAAAAGUCAGGGACAGCGUGGCUCCAUCUCGGUGGCCCCAGCACCUCGCGUGGCCCGUGGAAUGGGCUCCCGAAAUCUGCGCGGACCAGACGGCUCCUUCACUGCCCCGCUCCACCCCCAGCUCUCCUCAUCCCUCCGAGACUCACGGGGCCAAAUCAACGCUCUUUAUUUGGGCCUAUGCCCCGCUUUCUCCGUCGUCCUCGUCCACACCUGGGCCGAGUUUGGGAAUUCCGGACAACCACUUACAGACCACUGGAGCCCUUGCAGACUUCCUCCGGAAUCAUAAUACCCCAAGGCCAUUUAAACGUCGCCUGAAACCAAGCCAGUGCCCCGCUCCUGUCCCUCGCUCACCUCCCGACGAUGUUUAAUUUUUCUCUAAAUGAACUUGCACAGUGUCACACCGCAGUCCGGCACCUUGGAACAUCCCUAUCCCGAUCUGUGAGCAGCUGACAUGCGGCGCGGUGGCACCGCUUCCUCUGAGGACAUUUUCCCGUAAUGUCGCUGAUUAAAAUACAGCUGACUGCGGGGAGGCCGCGGCGCUCCAGCCAGCCGGGGUGAGCCAGCGAAACGCAGAGAUAAUGAAUAAUGGUUUGUGGCAAAACUGAUAAUGCACCCGCUAUUAUAUCGACCGGGGCUGCGGCUUCAGUUAAUCGCGCUAAAUUGCUGGGCUGGAGCUGUGUUCUGCUGGAGGCCUGGCUGCUGCCCUUUCUCCUUUGAAAAUGUCCAUUUGUCUGGAGCUGGGUUCUUAUUCCUUCCUCCUGUCACUCCAUUCAAAUGAGCUGGCUAUUUUUGCCGGUGGCCGCCGUGGGAGUGCGAGUUUGGAACGCGGCGGAGCUGUGCGUGCCAUCUGCUGGCGCGUGUGCCCACCUCCCGUGGGGGUGCGCGCCACGUGCGCUGGGUGCCCCGCAGAUGAACCAGGAGCUUGUGGUCCAGGGGAGGAGUCGGCCCCCACCCAGAGCACUGGUGCCGCCUGCUGAGGGCUUCGGCUCUGUGGCCGGUCUAGGGGUGGGUUCGAAUCCGGACUCCUCCACUUUGUAGCCGUGAGGACUUGGACCCCAGCCCCUCGACUAUAAGGUGGCGAUGCUCCUGUAACCACGUUCGAGUGUCAUGGCAUUAAAUGGGCCACGAAAGGGGACGGCAUAGCACUGUGCUGGGUACAAAGUGAGCUCCGGCUACGUGGGCCUCAUGGCAGGGAGGCCUGUGCAAGGAUCACAGGGUGCAGAGGGAGCAGUGACUACUGCCUCGAAGGUCCCGGUGGCUUCAUGGAGGAGGUGAUCAGGAGCUAAGUUUUGUAGGGGAGAGUAGGGCUAUGGGGGCCAUGUCCUCGGGCACUGCUGAGGGCUACCCUGACCCGUCUCCUCCAUCAGC
rnacentral:lncRNA from 1 species